rnacentral:rRNA from 2 species
GAUCCAGCUUGCUGGAUGCUGACGAGCGGCGGACGGGUGAGUAAUGCAUAGGAAUCUGCCCGAUAGUGGGGGAUAACCUGGGGAAACCCAGGCUAAUACCGCAUACGUCCUACGGGAGAAAGGGGGCUCCGGCUCCCGCUAUGGGAUGAGCCUAUGUCGGAUUAGCUAGUUGGUGAGGUAACGGCUCACCAAGGCCACGAUCCGUAGCUGGUCUGAGAGGAUGAUCAGCCACAUCGGGACUGAGACACGGCCCGAACUCCUACGGGAGGCAGCAGUGGGGAAUAUUGGACAAUGGGGGAAACCCUGAUCCAGCCAUGCCGCGUGUGUGAAGAAGGCCCUCGGGUUGUAAAGCACUUUCAGCGAGGAAGAACGCCUAGCGGUUAAUACCCGCUAGGAAAGACAUCACUCGCAGAAGAAGCACCGGCUAACUCCGUGCCAGCAGCCGCGGUAAUACGGAGGGUGCAAGCGUUAAUCGGAAUUACUGGGCGUAAAGCGCGCGUAGGUGGCUUGAUAAGCCGGUUGUGAAAGCCCCGGGCUCAACCUGGGAACGGCAUCCGGAACUGUCAAGCUAGAGUGCAGGAGAGGAAGGUAGAAUUCCCGGUGUAGCGGUGAAAUGCGUAGAGAUCGGGAGGAAUACCAGUGGCGAAGGCGGCCUUCUGGACUGACACUGACACUGAGGUGCGAAAGCGUGGGUAGCAAACAGGAUUAGAUACCCUGGUAGUCCACGCCGUAAACGAUGUCGACCAGCCGUUGGGUGCCUAGCGCACUUUGUGGCGAAGUUAACGCGAUAAGUCGACCGCCUGGGGAGUACGGCCGCAAGGUUAAAACUCAAAUGAAUUGACGGGGGCCCGCACAAGCGGUGGAGCAUGUGGUUUAAUUCGAUGCAACGCGAAGAACCUUACCUACU